GACCCGUCUUGAAACACGGACCAAGGAGUCUAACAUGCUUGCGAGUGAAUGGGUGAUGUUAAACCCAGACGCGGAAUGAAAGUGAUUUGGCACACGAUCUUGUGACUACUAAGUGUGCGGGAGCAGUGUGGUGACAUCGCAAUAGCUUGCUAUGCGGUGUACACAGAGCAGUCAUGUUGGGACCCGAAAGAUGGUGAACUAUGCCUGAGCAGGACGAAGCCAGACGAAAGUCUGGUGGAGGUCCGAAGCAGUUCUGACGUGCAAAUCGAUUGUCAGACUUGGGUAUAGGGGCGAAAGACUAAUCGAACCAUCUAGUAGCUGGUUCCUUCCGA
rnacentral:rRNA from 1 species